rnacentral:rRNA from 1 species
GUGGGGAAUAUUGGACAAUGGGCGAAAGCCUGAUCCAGCCAUGCCGCGUGUGUGAAGAAGGUCUUCGGAUUGUAAAGCACUUUAAGUUGGGAGGAAGGGCAGUAAGUUAAUACCUUGCUGUUUUGACGUUACCGACAGAAUAAGCACCGGCUAACUUCGUGCCAGCAGCCGCGGUAAUACGAAGGGUGCAAGCGUUAAUCGGAAUUACUGGGCGUAAAGCGUGCGCAGGCGGUUUUGUAAGUUGGAGGUGAAAUCCCCGGGCUCAACCUGGGAACUGCCUCCAAAACUGCAUGACUAGAGUACGGUAGAGGGUAGUGGAAUUUCCUGUGUAGCGGUGAAAUGCGUAGAUAUAGGAAGGAACACCAGUGGCGAAGGCGACUACCUGGACUGAUACUGACACUGAGGUGCGAAAGCGUGGGGAGCAAACAGGAUUAGAAACCCUAGUAGUCC